UAUGGCCUUCAAAAAUCCCACCUUUUUUUUUCUAUAUCCCUUCAAUUAUUAUUCAUCUUAACCAAGAAGAAGAAGAAGAAGAAGACCAGUCGGAGAAGACUUACAGACUAGCUUAGCUAAGCGCGUGUCACCCACUCUCCCAUUUCUGCGAAGAACACCGAUCACUCGAGAUCGGAGGACUUGCAGUAAUGGCGGUCGCCACCUUGUCCAACUUCUCCGCUUUCACCACUCGCACACCCUCUCUCUCUUAUUUUUCUUCUUCUUCUUCACCUUUCCCGCGCACCACAAACUUCACUUUCACUACCCUCACCAAACCUCCCACCUCCCUCUCUCUCGCCACGUCACCGAGCCUCCCCCGCUCCUCUUUCGCCACGUGUUUCUCCUCCGGCGGCCCACCUUCCUCCGGCGGCGGCGGGGGAGGAGAUCACGGAAAUGGCGGCGGUGACGGAGAGGGAGGGGAGGACAGAGAGAGGAACAAAAAGGAGGCGGCGAUGGCGAUUGCGGAGGCGGGAAGGACGGCGGAGAGUCUGCCGAAGGACUUGGCGGCGGCGGUGGAGGCGGGUCGGGUCCCCGGGUUGAUUGUGAAGAGGUUCUUUGAGCUGGAGAAGUCGGUGGUCUUCAGGUGGCUGCUUCAGUUUGAUGGAUUCAAGGAGCGGUUGCUGGCCGACGACUUGUUCUUGACCAAAGUUGGCAUCGAGUGCGGUGUUGGAAUUUUCACCAAGACUGCUGCAGAGUUGGAGCGGCGCAGAGAAAAAUUUACCAAGGAGCUGGAUUUUGUGUUUGCGGAUGUGGUGAUGGCCAUUAUAGCUGAUUUUAUGCUUGUCUGGCUUCCUGCUCCUACUGUUUCACUUCGCAAACCUCUUGUUGUCAGUGCUGGGCGUGUUGCUAAGUUCUUCUAUGGCUGUCCUGACAAUGCAUUUCAGGUUGCUUUGGCUGGAACAUCUUACUCAGUCUUACAGAGAAUAGGCGCAAUAUUAAGAAAUGGAGCAAAACUAUUCGUGGUUGGGACUGGUGCUUCUCUGAUUGGUACUGGUGUAACAAAUGCAUUGAUUGCUGCAAGAAAAGCUUUGGACAAAUCCUUUCUUGGUGAAGCAGAAGAUGUUCCCAUAUUAUCAACUAGUGCAGCCUAUGGGGUCUAUAUGGCAGUUUCUAGCAAUCUAAGGUACCAAGUUCUCGCUGGAAUAAUCGAACAACGUAUUCUAGAACCCUUGCUACACCAACACAAGCUUGCACUGAGUGCAAUUUGCUUUGCUGUUCGAACUGGAAACACAUUUUUGGGGUCCUUGAUGUGGGUUGAUUAUGCACGCUGGAUUGGAAUUCAAUAGAUAUGGAGUAGAGCAUAGGGCUCCAUAAGCUACAUCAUUCCAGCAUUGAAAAAAGGGCGGUUUAACAAUGUUUGGAUAUGCUGGAGUUUCUUGAGGUAGAUGCUACCCACUAAAGAGAAAAGUCUGAUGUUUAAUAUCCCCAGUUCAACACAAUGUGGAGCUUGGUGUGCUGUUGUGAAUCUUUGUGCAAUUUAUCCUAAGAAGGUAAAUUGUGUCUGUAGAUGAUAGGCAUACAAGCUCGGCGUAAAUAGAAAUAUUUGAUCUCAAAUUGGUUCAAGUGCAGUAACUAAUCGAUCACCUCUUGGUGGCAGAACAAAAUGGUGGCGAUGGGACAUUUAGUUCAUAUGUAAUAAAGAAACAAGUUUUCUGGAAUAUAUUUGCUGGGUGCUGCUAUUGUUAUAUUUCAUUUCUCCAAUGUAAAGUCAAUAUUGAACCACUGUUUCCCUUAUACACCAAUGAUGUAAAAUCUUGCUCUUUCGUAUCUUCAGCCAUGCCGGAUUUGGAUUUUU